AAAAACUGCCUGAUUGUCUGACUGACUGGUCUAUCAACGCACAGCUCAAACUGUUCCUGGACGAAUCGGGCU